AUGCAGGAGACGGAGGCGAGUGAAGGAUGGCAAGAGGUGCUGCCUCGGCGCGGUCGGUGCUGUCCGGCCUCACCAACUCUGGCAUUGCCCCCUCGUCCCAUUCCGGCUUGGCUCUUUCGUAGGUGUUGCAGAUGUCUUGUUUCUGGGCAUCGUGCGGCUGAUUGCAGAGAUCCCUUGAGGUGCUCCCGCUGUUUGGAGAAUGGCCACUGGGCGCGUGGGUGUCGCAAUGCUUGGCGUCCAUUCAGCUCUCUUGCAUGCCUUGCCAUGCCGCCACGGUCUCGCCUUGGCAAUGAGCAUUGCGCAGCUCUAGCUUCUUGUGAGGGUCCGAUGAAAUCCCAGCUCCCCUCCAAGGUGCUUCACCGCAGGUCCUGGGCAUCGGUCGUUUCCACUCACGUUGAGUCGGGAACCCCAUCCGAUGUACUGCUCCGGUCCACUAUAGCAGCGCAGGCGGAGCUCCUGGUGCGCGUUGGGAGCUUUCUGGAGCGAGCAGAGGCUGCUCUGGGAAAGCUCUCUCUUGUCUCGGCUGUGUUGCAAUCCGCUCCUACGCCACGUCCUCCCAGUGAGGUUGAUGUUGGUGGCUCAGUGGAGAGCAGUGUUGCGGAGCUCUAUGGUUGUUUCUCCCCUAGAGCUGUGGACAACUCGUCACCUUCGCCUGCCUUGCCCACUGUGUUGUCUACCGCUGAGGGCGGGACCAUUGCCGUGGUUGUGCCUCCGGUGCUGCAGGUGAUGCCCGAGCUUCAAGUGGUAUGUGCGAGCUCUGAUUUGCCUCUAUCAAUGGAGCAAACGAUGGUGGACACGCAAGCAACCACGAGUGAGGGACAUGAUUCAACUGUGACAUGUGAGCAGAGUGAGGUGAGCUCGCUUGGGCGCUCACAUGUGAUUUUGGCACCCGUUCCACCGCCGCCGACGGAUACUUCGAAUGCUCUCUUUGCAAAAGAGCUUUGUGACUUGCUCGCUAGUGUGGAGGCUAUUAUUCCUGGAACUGGAAGGGCAAUUGCCUGCCUCCUGACAGGAUCGACUUACAAGGGCAAAUGCAAGAAGGCGAGCGAUUGCCCUCGGACCGGUUUAGUGCAGGAGAAGUCACUAAGGUGCAAAAGCAAGAAGAGUGGCGUCAUAGGUAAGGUGCCCGCGGCUGCUUAG
rnacentral:rRNA from 1 species